GACAGAGGCCUCAAGCGUUAGGCGGAAUCACUGGGCUUAAAGCGUGCGUAGGCGGGGCGUUAAGUAUCUUGUGAAAUCCCACGGCUCACCCGUGGAACGGCUGGGUAUACUGGCGAUCUUGGGCCAACUAGGGGCGACUGGGACAAGCGGUGGAGCGGUGAAAUGCGUAGAUAUCGCUUGGAACGCCGAAGGUGAAAACAGGUCGCUGGGGUUGUGCCGACGCUGAGACACGAAAGCCAGGGGAGCAAACGGG
rnacentral:rRNA from 1 species